rnacentral:lncRNA from 1 species
AUCUAAUUCUGAUUGACAUGAUGAAAUGCAAUAUGAAAUGCUAAAUGAAUGCAUGAAUGAGGAGGGCAAAUUUUGGGGUGUUACAGCUGCCCCUAUUCAAUCAUCAGCUAAACCGAGUAGGAUGAAAGCGAACAGCUUAUCAGACAAACGGGGUGAGCUGUGAUUGAAUACCAAAGAUAGACCGAAAAUUUGCGCUCCGAGAACACCAC